rnacentral:rRNA from 1 species
UACAGAGGAUGCAAGCGUUAUCCGGAAUGAUUGGGCGUAAAGCGUCUGUAGGUGGCUUUUAAGUCCGCCGUCAAAUCCCAGGGCUCAACUCUGGACAGGCGGUGGAAACUACCAAGCUUGAGUACGGUAGGGCAGAGGGAAUUUCCGGUGGAGCGGUGAAAUGCGUAGAGAUCGGAAAGAACACCAACGGCGAAAGCACUCUGCUGGGCCGACACUGACACUGAGAGACGAAAGCGUAGG